UCUCCGUUAUCCGGAGCAGUCCUCUUAGAGUUCCCCCUUGCGGGUGGCAACUAAGAGUAAGGGUUGCGCUCGUUGCGGGACUUAACCCAACACCUCACGGCACGAGCUGACGACAGCCAUGCAGCACCUCUACUGGAGUCCCUUGCGGGAAGUCCCGAUUUCUCGGAAUGGUCUCCAGCACUUCGAGCCCAGGUAAGGUUCUUCGCGUUGCGUCGAAUUGAACCACAUGUUCCACCGCUUGUGCGGGCCCCCGUCAAUUCCUUUGAGUUUCAGUCUUGCGACCGUACUCCCCAGGCGCAGGACUUAACGCGUUAGCUCCGGGACGCACCCCAAACGAGAUGCACCCCAAGUCCUGAUGGUUUAGGGCUAGGACUAC
rnacentral:misc_RNA from 1 species